rnacentral:rRNA from 1 species
AACGAACGCUGGCGGCAGGCCUAACACAUGCAAGUCGAGCGCCCUUUCGGGGGAGCGGCGGACGGGUGAGUAACGCGUGGGAAUAUGCCCUUCUCUACGGAAUAGCCCCGGGAAACUGAGAGUAAUACCGUAUACGCCCUGUGGGGGAAAGAUUUAUCGGGGAAGGAUUAGCCCGCGUUGGAUUAGGUAGUUGGUGGGGUAAUGGCCUACCAAGCCGACGAUCCAUAGCUGGUUUGAGAGGAUGAUCAGCCACACUGGGACUGAGACACGGCCCAGACUCCUACGGGAUGCAGCAGUGUCGAAUCUUAGACCAUCGGGGCAUGCCUGAUCUAGCCAUGCCGCGUGAGUGAUGAAGGCCUUAGGGUUGUAAAUUUCAUUCAGCUAGGAAGAUAAUGACGGUACCUGCAGAGGAAGCCCCGGCUAACUCCGUG